UAGCAUAAGAUCAUAUCAAAAUGUGCAAGACCAAGUUGAACACAAAUCUUCAGUCAUGUAGAUAAAAAGGGAGAUUAGGGACUGAUAUAUGCAGAGGAUAAACAUAGCUCUAAUCAAAAUCUUUUGGGAAAGCAGACAAUACAUUGGAAUGAAACAAUGAUAAUAAUAAGAAGAAGAAGAAGAAAAAGAAGAAAAAAACAGAUGUUGAUGAAACAAUAGAUGAAAAGGGUCUUUAUUCUUUUUCUGUUGUUUGUAUAUAAAGUUGUCCCUCAUUUAUGGCAAG
rnacentral:lncRNA from 1 species